rnacentral:rRNA from 1 species
GACGAACGCUGGCGGCGUGCUUAACACAUGCAAGUCGAACGGUGAAGCGCCUUCCUUUUUGGUGGGUGUGGAUGAGUGGCGAACGGGUGAGUAACACGUGAGUAACCUGCCCCCUUCUUCUGGAUAACCGCAUGAAAGUGUGGCUAAUACGGGAUAUUCUGGUUCUGUCGCAUGAUGGGUCUGGGAAAGAUAUUGCGGCGGUGGGGGAUGGGCUCGCGGCCUGUCAGCUUGUUGGUGGGGUGGUGGCCUACGAAGGCGGUGACGGGUAGCCGGCCUGAGAGGGUGACCGGCCACAUGGGGACUGAGAGACGGGCCAGACUGCUACGGGAGGGAGCAGGGGGGAAGAGUGCACAAUGGGCGGAGGCCUGAUGGAGCCGCGCCGCGUGCGGGAUGACGGUCUUCGGGUUGUAAACCGCUUUCGCCUGGGACGAAGCGUGAGGGACGGUAAUGGGUAAAGAAGCACCGGCUAACUACGUG